rnacentral:rRNA from 1 species
AGCCUGAUCCAGCAAUGCCGCGUGGGUGAAGAAGGUCUUCGGAUCGUAAAGCCCUUUCGGCGGGGACGAUGAUGACGGUACCCGCAGAAGAAGCCCCGGCUAACUUCGUGCCAGCAGCCGCGGUAAUACGAAGGGGGCUAGCGUUACUCGGAAUUACUGGGCGUAAAGGGCGCGUAGGCGGCGCUGCAAGUUAGGCGUGAAAGCCCUGGGCUCAACCUGGGGACUGCGCUUAAGACUGUGGUGCUUGAGGAUGGAAGAGGCUCGUGGAAUUCCCAGUGUAGAGGUGAAAUUCGUAGAUAUUGGGAAGAACACCGGUGGCGAAGGCGGCGAGCUGGUCCAUUACUGACGCUGAGGCGCGAUAGCGUGGGGAGCAAACAGGAUUAGAUACCCUGGUAGUCCACGCCGUAAACGAUGUGCGCUGGAUGUUGGGUGACCUAGUCACUCAGUGUCGUAGCCAACGCGGUAAGCGCACCGCCUGGGGAGUACGGCCGCAAGGUUGACACUCAA